rnacentral:rRNA from 1 species
ACGGGUGAGUAAUGCUUGGGAAUCUGGCUUAUGGAGGGGGAUAACUACGGGAAACUGUAGCUAAUACCGCGUAGUGUCGAGAGACGGAAGUGCGGGACCGCAAGGCCGCAUGCCAUGAGAUGAGCCCAAGUGGGAUUAGGUAGUUGGUGGGGUAAAGGCCUACCAAGCCUGCGAUCUCUAGCUGGUCUGAGAGGAUGGCCAGCCACACUGGAACUGAGACACGGUCCAGACUCCUACGGGAGGCAGCAGUGGGGAAUAUUGCGCAAUGGGGGGAACCCUGACGCAGCCAUGCCGCGUGAAUGAAGAAGGCCUUCGGGUUGUAAAGUUCUUUCGGUAUUGAGGAAGGAGUGUAUGUUAAUAGCAUACAUUAUUGACGUUAAAUACAGAAGAAGCACCGGCUAACUCCGUGCCAGCAGCCGCGGUAAUACGGAGGGUGCGAGCGUUAAUCGGAAUUACUGGGCGUAAAGCGAGCGCAGACGGUUACUUAAGCAGGAUGUGAAAUCCCCGGGCUCAACCUGGGAACUGCGUUCUGAACUGGGUGACUAGAGUGUGUCAGAGGGAGGUAGAAUUCCACGUGUAGCAGUGAAAUGCGUAGAGAUGUGGAGGAAUACCGAUGGCGAAGGCAGCCUCCUGGGAUAACACUGACGUUCAUGCUCGAAAGCGUGGGUAGCAAACAGGAUUAGAUACCCU